AUUGAACGCUGGCGGUAUGCUUAACACAUGCAAGUCGAACGCUGAAGGGUGCUUGCACCUGGAUGAGUGGCGGACGGGUGAGUAAUGCAUAGGAAUCUGCCUAUUAGUGGGGGAUAACGUGGGGAAACUCAUGCUAAUACCGCAUACGCUCUACGGAGGAAAGCCGGGGACCUUCGGGCCUGGUGCUAAUAGAUGAGCCUAUGUCGGAUUAGCUAGUUGGUGGGGUAAAGGCCUACCCAGGCGACGAUCCGUAGCUGGUCUGAGAGGAUGAUCAGCCACACUGGGACUGAGACACGGCCCAGACUCCUACGGGAGGCAGCAGUGGGGAAUAUUGGACAAUGGGCGCAAGCCUGAUCCAGCAAUACCGCGUGUGUGAAGAAGGCCUGAGGGUUGUAAAGCACUUUCAAUGGGAAGGAACACCUAUCGGUUAAUACCCGGUAGACUGUCAUUACCCAUACAAGAAGCACCGGCUAACUCCGUGCCAGCAGCCGCAGUAACAC
rnacentral:rRNA from 1 species